UGGGUUUGGUUACAGAUGAUAACAUGCAUGGAUAACAGAAGUCACUAUGGGAGUACGAGGGACUAGGAGUGUUUGAUUCCAUAAAUCAGACGCUCCGAUAUUAUAUCUACAUUCGUUACAAUAAUGUUGAAUAUAGAGAUAUUGAGGAACACUGUGUUUGUUGUUUGAACUAUUAAACUGCUACAUAUGGUAACCUGGACAUAUAGAGCCACCCUCGCUUAGGAAUUAUAUGUAUUCUCAUCUUAAAACCUGGAAUGACCUAGAAAUUUCAAUGGUCUCAUUGAUCUCAAUGAUCAUAACAGUUUCCCUGCUUAAAACAUCACGUGAUAGCCCACGUGGGAAUAACACACGUGCUAAAGUGCUGAUGACUUACCUGACGAUAUAGAAAUAGAAGAGAGUUGGUGACAUUAUAGACAAUGAAGGAAAAAAAAGUUUUGAAAUUAAAGAUUUUAUGCUAACUUGAUGAUGUAUAAAUUUAUAUAGAGAGGGUACGUAUAGACGGAUGUUUGUGCAAUUAUUUUUGAAAAUGGAAAUUUAUUGAAAUGAAUCGAUUUCUAUUGUUGCUGAUUUGGUGUAAAUAUGAGAAAAUAUCGAGGAUUUAAUAACUUA